rnacentral:rRNA from 1 species
UACAGAGGGGGCCAGCGUUAUUCGGAAUUAUUGGGCGUAAAGGGCGCGUAGGCGGCCAUGCGUGUCUUCCGUGAAAUCCCUCGGCUUAACUGAGGACGUGCGGAAGAAACUGCAAGGCUCGAGUCCGGGAGAGGGGGGUGGAAUUCCCAGUGUAGCGGUGAAAUGCGUAGAUAUCGUCUGGAACGCCAAAGGUGAAAACAGACUGCUGGGAGUGUGCUGACGCUGAGACACGAAAGCCAGGGGAGCAAACGGG